CCUCCUCCCCUUCUCGCCUCCAAAUCCGGACCCCUUCCCCUUGCCGCCUUCCCCGGCCGAGUACGCCAUGUCUAACCCUACGGCUGCCUCUGGAUCCCGGCUUCGCGCUGGCGCAUGCUCGUCCCCUCAGAGACCACUUGCCUCGAUUUUUCAUCCUUCAUUAGGUACAUGUUCCCAGUCUUCUGGAGUGGUUGUGUUGAUCUUGCUUAUUUAGAUCCUUUUGCGAUGUAGUUUUUGUUGCAGUUCUGUUCGAUGUAUCAUGAGAGUAUACACCUUUGUGUGUGGAUGCGGCAAUUUUUUGAGGUCUUUGGCUGUUCUGAAGGUCUAAUGAAUAACCUAAUUCGAAUAUUCACCAUUACAUCUGCUAUUUGAGGAACAGUAGUAUUGGACGGGGGAGAAAAGUCUUCUUUGUGAAACUACAAGUACUGUAACACAGUGGUCCUCUUCCGAAGCUUUACAAGAAACAUGCACAUCGUUGUGGUUCAGGAACCCCUUUCAACUUUGUGAAUCGCCAAUGCUUUUCGAGUGGUGGGUUCUGCUGCUGCUGCUUGAUUAUUUCUUCAGUCCAAGUCCGUGAAUGUGCUGCAAAAGAGAGGACGCUUUGGGCCUACCCACAUGACUUGCUUGAGCGAGGCCUAGUGGCGCCUGCUCCGGCAAGCAUGCCUGCGGCGAUGCGGCUUCUUCCGAGUUCCCAUCUCAGUUCACUUAUGGUUGGUGUGCCAUUUACUUUCCCUCCCACUCCUCCGCAGUACAACUUUUCUCCAGAAGAUGUUGGCUUCCAGCACAGAGAGAUCUACCGUUUGUCGUCCCCAGAUGUACCUAAUGAACGAUCUAGAUUUGCUGCUGCUGCUGCUGCAGAUUUGUCACCAUCUUCGACGACAACACAGUACUAUUUGAUACAUCCCCCUAGAUUGGGCCUAUAUAACCCCAUUCAGAUCCUUGGUCUAAAUCUUAGUUGAUGAUCUGUAUAAAUUUCCUGAUGUAAAUAUAUUUUCAUUGAAACAAUAUUGCUAUCUUUUUGUCAACACUUUUUUAUUAUAUCAUCUAAUAUUAUUGUUUGGCUGGUGCAUAUCAGCAGGGUGGAAACACGCAAGAAUAAAUGGGGCCACGGGAUACCUACCCAAUCAUGAUGGGUCCGGCGAGAUCGCAGCCACCGGGGUGGCAUUACAAGUAUCUCGCCACAUGUCGCUCUUACACCUUCCCCUUUGCCCCCACAUGGUCUACUUUUCUCCACGUGCCCGUUGACCCGAUACGUGGCCCUCAGAAAAGUCGCGUGCCCAAUUUAUUUCUACC